rnacentral:lncRNA from 1 species
GAAACAGCCUCCCUGCCCUUUCGGGUAGGGGUAAGGCUCGUCUAUAUAUUACCCUCCCCAGAACCCACCUGGUGGGAAUAUACUGGGUAGUUGUUGUUGUUGUUGUACAUUGAUCAGGUAAUAUCAAGUAAGAUCAUGGCUAAUUUUGACAUAUAACACAUCAACACAUUUCAUACGGCCAUAAUCUAUGGUAAUCAUUACUAGUCCAGUAGAUAUUCCUAUGCGCUCAUUAACACUAAAAAUGCUAUUCCCUGCAUCCUGAUUUAUGUGACAUUGUUUGACUAACAGAAUUUAAGAAACAAAAUAAAGACUUUUAAAACUUGCUAAUCACUUGUAGAUUUGGAAGUACAAAGUUAAAUAAUUUAUAAAUAUAAAAAGGGAAAAGGGUCAGAACUGCCCCUAACGUAUUAACUCCAGUUUAAAAAUGCCCUCCGUUAACCUAUUUUGAAAAAAA